AAUGGGCGCAAGCCUGAUCCAGCCAUGCCGCGUGAGUGAUGAAGGCCCUAGGGUCGUAAAGCUCUUUCGCCAGGGAUGAUAAUGACAGUACCUGGUAAAGAAACCCCGGCUAACUCCGUGCCAGCAGCCGCGGUAAUACGGAGGGGGUUAGCGUUGUUCGGAAUUACUGGGCGUAAAGCGCGCGUAGGCGGAUUAGUCAGUCAGAGGUGAAAUCCCAGGGCUCAACCCUGGAACUGCCUUUGAUACUGCUAGUCUUGAGUUCGAGAGAGGCAAGUGGAAUUCCGAGUGUAGAGGUGAAAUUCGUAGAUAUUCGGAGGAACACCAGUGGCGAAGGCGGCUUACUGGCUCGAUACUGACGCUGAGGUGCGAAAGUGUGGGGAGCAAACAGGAUU
rnacentral:rRNA from 1 species